UACGUAGGGGCAAGCGUUAUCCGGAUUUACUGGGUGUAAAGGGAGCGCAGACGGAACUGCAAGUCUGAUGUGAAAGCCCGGGGCUCAACCGCGGGACUGCAUCGGAUACUGUGGAUCUGGAGUGCCGGAGGGGCAAGCGGAAUUCCUAGUGUAGCGGUGAAAUGCAUAGAUAUCACGAGGAACUCCGAUUGCGCAGGCAGCUUACUAAACCAUAACUGACGCUCAGGCACGAAGGCGUGGGGAUCAAACAGGAUUAGA
rnacentral:rRNA from 1 species